rfam:Theobroma cacao cultivar Matina 1-6 chromosome 9, whole genome shotgun sequence.
GUGUUUGCAGAUGCGGCAUCAUCAAGAUUCACAAACUUUAGUAAGGGCUUCUUUUGGUGGCCGGGGAGUGGUAACCAAUCACCUCCUUUACUCGAAAGUUACCUUUCAAAUGGGAAUCUUGAUGAUGCUGCAUCAGCAAACAU